UACAGAGGGUGCGAGCGUUGUCCGGAAUCACUGGGCGUAAAGGGCGCGUAGGUGGUGGCUUAAGCGUGCGGUGAAAGCUCGGGGCUCAACCCCGAGUCGGCCGUGCGAACUGGGCUCACUGGAGCAUAGUAGAGGCGAGUGGAAUUCCUGGUGUAGCGGUGAAAUGCGCAGAUAUCAGGAGGAACACCAAUGGCGAAGGCAGCUCGCUGGGACGGUACUGACGCUGAGACGCGAAAGCGUGGGGAGCAAACAGG
rnacentral:rRNA from 1 species